AACGCACAUUGCGCCCGCUAGUAUUCUGGCGGGCAUGCCUGUUCGAGCGUCAUUUCAACCAUCAAGCCCCCGGCUUGCGUUGGAGCCCUGCGGCUGCCGCAGGCUCCUAAAUACAGUGGCGGGCUCGUCGUCGUACCGAGUGCAGUAAACAUCCUCGCUCAGGGAACGCGUCGGGUUCUUGCCGUGAAACCCCCCCUAUAUCAAGGUUGACCUCGGAUCAGGUAGGAAUACCCGCUGAACUUAA
rnacentral:misc_RNA from 1 species